AGGGUUUGAUCAUGGCUCAGGAUGAACGCUGGCGGCGUGCUUAACACAUGCAAGUCGAACGAACCUUCGGGUUAGUGGCGGACGGGUGAGUAACGCGUGAGAAUCUGCCCUCAGGAGGGGGAUAACAGCUGGAAACGGCUGCUAAUACCCCAUAUGCCGCGAGGUGAAAUGAAUUUCGCCUGAGGAUGAGCUCGCGUCUGAUUAGCUAGUUGGUGAGGUAAUGGCUUACCAAGGCUUCGAUCAGUAGCUGGUCUGAGAGGAUGAUCAGCCACACUGGGACUGAGACACGGCCCAGACUCCUACGGGAGGCAGCAGUGGGGAAUUUUCCGCAAUGGGCGAAAGCCUGACGGAGCAACGCCGCGUGAGGGACGAAGGCCUCUGGGCUGUAAACCUCUUUUCUCAAGGAAGAAGAUAUGACGGUACUUGAGGAAUAAGCCACGGCUAAUUCCGUGCCAGCAGCCGCGGUAAUACGGGAGUGGCAAGCGUUAUCCGGAAUUAUUGGGCGUAAAGCGUCCGCAGGCGGCUUUUCAAGUCUGCUGUUAAAACGUGGAGCUUAACUCCAUCAUGGCAGUGGAAACUGAAAGGCUUGAGUAUGGUAGGGGCAGAGGGAAUUCCCGGUGUAGCGGUGAAAUGCGUAGAUAUCGGGAAGAACACCAGUGGCGAAGGCGCUCUGCUGGGCCAUUACUGACGCUCAUGGACGAAAGCCAGGGGAGCGAAAGGGAUUAGAUACCCCUGUAGUCCUGGCCGUAAACGAUGAACACUAGGUGUCGGGGGAAUCGACCCCUUCGGUGUCGUAGCUAACGCGUUAAGUGUUCCGCCUGGGGAGUACGCACGCAAGUGUGAAACUCAAAGGAAUUGACGGGGGCCCGCACAAGCGGUGGAGUAUGUGGUUUAAUUCGAUGCAACGCGAAGAACCUUACCAGGGUUUGACAUCCUGCGAACCUCUUAGAAAUUUGAGGGUGCCUUCGGGAAUGCAGUGACAGGUGGUGCAUGGCUGUCGUCAGCUCGUGUCGUGAGAUGUUGGGUUAAGUCCCGCAACGAGCGCAACCCACGUUUUUAGUUGCCAGCAUUUAGUUGGGCACUCUAGAAAGACCGCCGGUGAUAAACCGGAGGAAGGUGUGGAUGACGUCAAGUCAUCAUGCCCCUUACACCCUGGGCUACACACGUACUACAAUGCUACGGACAAAGGGCAGCAAACUCGCGAGAGCUAGCAAAUCCCAUAAACCGUGGCUCAGUUCAGAUCGUAGGCUGCAACUCGCCUACGUGAAGCAGGAAUCGCUAGUAAUCGCAGGUCAGCAUACUGCGGUGAAUACGUUCCCGGGCCUUGUACACACCGCCCGUCACACCAUGGAAGUUGGCCAUGCCCGAAGUCGUUACUCCAACCCUUGUGGAGGAGGACGCCGAAGGUGGGGCUAAUGACUGGGGUGAAGUCAUAACAAGGUAGCCGUA
rnacentral:rRNA from 1 species